AUUUUUAGUUAGACUUUUGGUACCAGAUUGUUAUCCCUGAUGUACCAGUUGCUUUCAGCGGCGUUGGAUGGGUUUUAUUUUUGCUUCCUAUGUUGUACGAAUGGUUAUGAAUAGGAGGUCAGUGAUGGUGCAGAUGAAUAUAAUUCUAAACCAGGCUUAGAUGGUAGUGGAGUGUUAUGAAUGAGGAGGUAUAAUUGAGGUAAGAAGCAUGUGAGAACGUACUGACUGGCUCUAUGACUUAAGGCAGAGCAGCAUUAUAAUAAGUGUAUUUUACAAAUGUGCGUGUAGUUAAAGUUUGCCUGGAAAUAUGUAAGUGUUAAGAGGUCCAUCUUUUGCUGGUUACCCUGGCCAAAUAUCUUCCAAAUUCAUCCAAGUUAUUAGAUAAAAGAAACUAAUAUCACUUCACUUAUUUUUCUUCCAGAGUUACAAAGAAAUGAGUUUAUGCCAUCUACUCUGAAUGAGUCUUCUCUGAAUAAACUAGAAUUCCCAGCCCAGCCACUGAUGAGUAUAUUCUCCAGCACAAAAAUAAUUCAAAGGAAUUAUUUUUCAAUACAUGCUUUUUAAAAACUGCAGACUGGUUUCCUAAACACUCCUCCAUCAUAAUUAUGAGAAGAUUCUAAAACUAACAAUUUUACCCUUCACCACAUUGAGAAAGUAAAGAGCAUUUAAAUGCCCCUCUCAGGGAACCAGAAAUAAAAUACUUGUCUUGAAUACUCCUUAAAAAUCUUUGUGUUUAUUCAUCAAAUUUUGGCCCAAAAUUUCUUUGUUUGCUUAAAACAUUCUUGUACUGUAUAAGGAACAACAAACUAAAAGGUAUAUCCUGUUUAUAAUCUCCUCACUAUCAAUAAAGCUGUAUUCAACAAGCACUUUGUCA
rnacentral:lncRNA from 1 species